UAUAAAAGAAACUCCCCGACCCGUCUCCUACUAUGUCUUCAGCUCUGCGGCUAUAUAUAAACCCAUAGAUCUCGUCUCUCGAAUAAAUUUGCAUUUCAUUUCACUUGAAUUUUGCUGCAUUUCUGCUCUCUUCAAUUCUCUUUCUCCGAGCCUCAGGUUUGCGGGCCACCAUCGAUCCUUUUUAUCGACAAAUUAUUCGGAAUUCGUACGAAUUCUACGGAGAUUCUCGCUGUUCGACGACGGAGAUCCGUUUUCUACAGGGUCUCCCCGAGCUUAACCAGAGUCCAUAAGAUCACUCUGCGCUCUCGUGGAUCUAAGCUAAAUUUUUUAGUCUGAUCGAUCUUUUGAUGUCCUUCGAUUAUUAGAAUUCUAGGGUUUUAAUUACCGCUUGAAUCGAAUUCUCGAGGCGAUCAAAGAUCCGAACCAAGGGAAGCGAAACUCAUGUUGAUGGAGUGCCAAGGUAAAAAAGCGACGCACGAUUUCCUUUCGCUUUACAACAAGGACUCAUCUUUCCAGCUUCAAGAUUCAAGACCUGCAUCUCAAGGGUUUUUUCUCAAGACCCACGAUUUCCUCAAACCGCUGGAGACGCCGGAGGAGCCCGAAGCACGUCGAG